GGGGAUUUAGCUCAGCGGCAUAAGCGCCUGCCUUGUAAGCAAGUAGUCGUGAGUUCAAUCCCCG
rfam:Cavia porcellus supercont2_103 genomic scaffold, whole genome shotgun sequence.